UUGAAUUAUGGUGAUAUGUGGAAUGUAAAGAUGGUAGAGAUGAUCUUAAUUGCAUAUGUAUUGGUAUUUGUACAUUCAUUCAUGGCAUGGUCGGCUUCAUUGUGGAAGCGGUGAAACUGUGGGUUCACAUGGUAUUAGACGUUGAUCCUUAAUUGGAAAUAGGUGUAGCAGACGUUGAUCCUUAAUUGGAAAUAGGCGUGGUAAAUAGACGUUGAUCCUUAAUUGGAAAUAGGUGUAGCAGACGUUGAUCCAUAAUUG
rnacentral:lncRNA from 1 species